UACGGAGGGUGCAGGCGUUAUCCGGAAUUACUGGGUUUAAAGGGUGCGUAGGCGGUUAUGUAAGUCAGCCAGUGAAAUUCCACAGCUUAACUGUAGGGACUGCUUUUGAUACUGCAUAACUUGAACCAAGAUGAGGUAGGCGGAAUGUGGCAUGUAGCGGUGAAAUGCAUAGAUAUGCCAUAGAACACCGAUUGCGAAGGCAGCUUACUAGACUUGUGUUGACGCUGAGGCACGAAAGCGUGGGGAGCGAACAGG
rnacentral:rRNA from 1 species